AGAACGAACGCUGGCGGCAGGCUUAACACAUGCAAGUCGAACGCCCCGCAAGGGGAGUGGCAGACGGGUGAGUAACGCGUGGGAAUCUACCUGGUUCUACGGAAUAACUGAGGGAAACUUCAGCUAAUACCGUAUACGCCCUAAGGGGGAAAGAUUUAUCGGUGCCAGAUGAGCCCGCGUAAGAUUAGCUAGUUGGUGGGGUAAUGGCCUACCAAGGCGACGACGGGUAGCCGGCCUGAGAGGGCGACCGGCCACACUGGGACUGAGACACGGCCCAGACUCCUACGGGAGGCAGCAGUGGGGAAUAUUGCGCAAUGGGCGAAAGCCUGACGCAGCAACGCCGCGCGAGGGACGAAGGCCUUCUGGGUUGUAAACCGUCUUUCAGCAGGGACGAUGAUGACGGUACCUGCAGAAGAGCCCGGCAACUCGCGCCAGCAGCCGC
rnacentral:rRNA from 1 species